UACGGAGGAUGCAAGCGUUAUCCGGAAUGAUUGGGCGUAAAGCAUCCGCAGGUGGCUUUGUAAGUCUGCUGUUAAAGAGUGAGGCUCAACCUCAUAAGAGCAGUGGAAACUACAAGGCUAGAGUACGUUCGGGGCAGAGGGAAUUCCUGGUGUAGCGGUGAAAUGCGUAGAGAUCAGGAAGAACACCGGUGGCGAAAGCGCUCUGCUAGGCCGUAACUGACACUGAGGGACGAAAGCUAGGGGAGCGAAUGGG
rnacentral:rRNA from 1 species